UAUUUAACUCUAGGGGAGCUGGAAAUUGAACAUAUUUUCAAAAAAAGGGUGGAAUGUCCCUGUAACCAACCUCUCGAUACGUAUUAAACCCAUUAAAGCUUCAAAUACCGUUUUUUUCUGCAGAUCCAAAAGUCUGAUGAAAAAUGCUCAUUUACAAGAAAACAUGUCAGACGCACUUAGAGGGUUUUGCAUCCGAGCUCUUAAAUUAUUUCCAAGGCAAGAAUAUAACAAAUAAAUUGAUCAGACAGUAUUGACCCCGUGCCUUGAACUCUAGAUGAUAAACCCAGUUAGUGUCAAAACACAAAGAUUAUACAAAAUGUCAAGCACAAAGCCCAACAGCCACACAUCCUAAAGAAGUGAACAAUGUUUAGUACUGUAAAUAUCAAAUAUCACUACUUAUCAGGACAAUCUGCUACCUGAAAACAUGCAUCUAAGCAAUGCAAAAUACACCCGUGUGGUUUGAGUCAAUCUGAGUAGUAUAUGCCAGAUCCUCAUGAGACAUGUUGAUAUUUUCAGCAGUCAGUAUUAUUAAGCUCUGGUGUGCUCUUCAUCUCCCAGUGAGCAUUUAGAUAUUUUUGGCAUUGAAGUGUGGGAGGAUUCGUGAGAAACGAGGCCAGAUAGCAAUGAGAAAAUUUUGAACAAAUUACAACUAUCAGCAUCGAUCAAAAUGCUUCCUCGCUCAGAGGACGCACCUUCACGCUCGGUUCAAGAUAAAACUGCUUUGUGAAUACAAGACUAUAACAGUCAAAUGACUUUUCAAAGCAAUUGCGCACCAUAACUUUGGCUCAAACGGAUUCGUUUGGGGCCGAACCGGUGGUCAAAGGUUUCAUAAGGGUUUUUCGUGCCUGUAGGCAAAGAUAGCUACUGUAACAGAUAGACAUCAACUUAUCACAGACAUCCAAGGGUAAUGGACCCAGCAAGCAAUAGCCAUCAUUUCACCGUUUAACUAAAGACCGAUAUAGUCUGGCUAUAAAUAACCCACUUCUAGCCAAAAUCAAAUGUAUGAUAUUCUAACACAAUCUCAUGGCAAUUUACGUACGUAAUUUACAAGUUGGCUAUUUUUUUUUUACGAUUACAUUUAUAGGUAUAGGAUAAUUUGCUUCACCCCUGUGACAUUGGGGUUUCAUUAUUUUUUAUAAUCGUACAUAUUUAAAUUGUUUCACUUCGUACAAUUCAUUCAAAUAAGGGUGAUUCUCGCGAAAUUAGACUAUGAGGUGUCGUGAAACAUUUUGAUAAAAAAAAGUAAAUGCAAAGAAAGAGUAUAAAAAUAAGAAGCAUACAGUUACAAACAUUUCUUCACGUACUAUUUUGCACAUGAUUUCAAAUGACAUCAAACAAACCAAUUUUGUUGUUUUUUCCACAUUUAAGGGGGAAAAUUUUCAUUACCGCAACGUGUCCAUGACUGGAUUUGGGUUCUUUGACAUGGAAAUAUUUAUGAUUAAAAAAUCUAAAAAAUAAAAAGCUUCGGUGCAUGUUAUAUUAUAAACAUUUACAGUAAAGAAACAUGUGGUAUUUGAUCAUUGGUAAAUGUAGAGACAAUAAUAAGGAAUAUAAAUGUGUCCAAGACCAAUUUUCUCAUCCUCCGCAACAAUUUUCAAUUAUUGUUUAAGCCCUCAAGGAACUAACAUUUAAAAAAAAAGUUGGAAGGGACAUAAUUGACUGUGACACUCAAGAUGGCUACCAGGUAAGCAGUUCUUAUUUUUUCUCUCCAGAUAAAAGUUGAAAUUUUGUUUGUCAUAGUACCUAGACAACUUUUUAGUUCUCAUAACCGAAACAUGAGUUUAUAAAUGCAUAUAUUUAAUGUAAUAUCAUGUUGCGGUAAUGAUCAUUUUUGAUAAUGAUAAUCUAAAAAAUGUAAAUAAUUCUAUAAGAAAUAUUUUUUAAAUCCUCUAAAAAUAAUGGUUAUAGUAAGUCCAGACCUUAAUCUUAUAAAAAAAUUGGCUUCAAGGGCUUUUUAAAAAAAUCUGAUGCUGGACACCUUCUAAGUCUGGGUUUCGUGAGAGUCACCCGACUACAUUUGUACGUUUUUUUUUUUUAUCGUAUGUUUUUAAAUUCAUUCACUUCGUAUGAAUUCAUACAAAUUAGCCAACUCGUAAAAAGCGUACGAAUUCAUGUGAGAUCAUCCUGGAUAUUUCAUCCUUUGACCAAAGUUAACAGUGAUUACAAGGUGUUCAUUAAUUUAUUUAAGCUAUUACAUUUUCAGUGACAGCCCAAAUGUUGUCUAAUUUUAGCCUAGAUGCCAGGGCUUGGGCAAUUUUGCUUGCUGGGGAGGAUCGUUUGAUGCUCAUUUGAAAGGUCUUUAUUUUAGCAAUUCUCUUUGAUGGCACCAAGGGUGCAGAUAUUACACACUUCACUUUUAAUGACAACGAGCAGCUGAUGCCCCAUAUUGUGGCAUUCGUGUGCAUAGCAAUGCACAUUUAUAAUAUAUUCUCUGGAUCAUCAGACACUUGAUGAUCACGAUGAUGAUUAUGGCAGAUAACCGUAUGUGGCAAUUUGCACAAUUUUAAUUUAUAACUGUUGGAUAUGUAGAUAUCGCUCUAUGCCUGUUGAGAUUUGUAAUGAUCUUGUUUUGUGACGUCUGUUAUUUGUGCACAUGUCGUGUAUUUUGCGCUUUGUGAGACUUGAGAGGACUGCUUUAGUGUACGACAAACUGCUGACGUUAUCCGGACCAAUCUUGCCUUUCCAGUGAAGAGUGCCGAUAUAAUUCAGCCCUGCUUCUUCUGUGUUAAAUGUGAGGUGGAAAUGAUUCUUUUGCUACUUACUUGUUAAACAUGCAAGCGACUCACAGUUUAGUGUACAAACAUUGCAAAAUCAAUGUGGACUUUAUUUAAAAACAGGAACAUUUUAUCGGCACAAGGGAUCAAAGAUCAUCGGCUGCUUUGUUUGAACUUGUCUGCAAACAUGUAACAGAACAUACCUGAGAAAAAUGGCAUCAUUUAGCGUGACAGUAAAUAAAGUGGAUAGAUCUUGCAUACUGUACAUGAUCUCUUAUCUAUACUGUAUGUUAAUCUAAGGCCAAACUGAGGUGAUGAUGAAGCUCUCAGUGAAUGCUGGGAAGGAUGCGGUCUGUUACAUUCAACUUUCUGCAUUUAUACUUAAGAAGCUCUUCGAAUGAGGAAUAAACUGGCCAAAAACAUCCCAGGGGUAAAUUUAAACCCAUCAACCUGUCAUGUCACAUCAGAAAAGAGUGAAUACUCAUUUAAUGAAAACCACCAGCAACAUGAAACGAAGAUCUCAUGCAAAUGGCUGAGCUUCUGUUUUGCAUACAAGGAUAGUAGAUGGUUACACUGCUCUACAUGAGACAAAAUCAUAACUUUUAACCCAUACACACAAAUGGGUUUGUUACAACAGAGGACAAUUAAUCAAUGAAAUAUGACUAACAUUGGCUAACUGUACGUUCACACUGGCGAGAGCGUCAAAAUGGCUGGAAGUCAUUCCUUUUCAAUGCAAGCUCCGGGCGUCGAGGACGGUUGAAGUUAGGUCAACUUUAUAGUAAUAAGCUAAGACACGGUUCGGCUGCAACUACUGUUCUCCAAACAUCUCCUAUAAACUGCAUGUUGAAAUUAUGAAAACAAAAGCCGUACCACACAUUUGGCUACCGUAACUAUAAUUAUUUUCUUACUUUCACAUUUAAAAUAUUUGAUAAUGUUGACUUUACCAUAUUUGAGGUCAGUCUGUACAAGGUCGACAUGCUUGCUUUGCGGCCCCUUUAAAUAAAGUUUACACAACCAAGCCUUCGAUCAUCACAGUGUCAACAAAUCUCUCUCUACAGCGUUGUUGGCAGGGCAGCAGAAGCCAGUUUUUUAACUCUCUCGCCGGCAACGAUGUGAACGUACCGUUAGAUAUUGUAUGACUUCCUAACCCUGAAAUAAACCAGCAUAAUUCCCAUGCUGGUCCAUGCUGGUUUAGGUGGUGGUCACCAGCAUACCGGCACCAAAACACAACAUAAGCUGGUCUUGCUGGUGCUGGUAUGCUGCACUGCAAAAAAAUACUUUCUUGCUUAGUAUUUUUGUUUUCAGUAAAAAUAUUUAAAAAUUCUUAAAUUAAGAUGUAUUUUCCUGAUGAGCAAAAUGACCUAGGAAAAUAAGUCUAGUUUUAAAACAAAAUAUAUAUAUAUAGAAUUUAAGUGAAUUUGUGCUAAAAAUAGGCCAAAAAACUGCCAGUGGAAUAAGAAAAAUUUUCUUGAAUUAAGUGUUUAUGAAAAAAGUUAACUUAUUUCAGGAAUUUUUUCUUAUUCCAUUGGCAGAUUUUUGUUUAUUGUUUUAAGCACUAAUUUACUUAAAUUGUAAAUUUUUUGUCUAAAAACUAGACUUAUCCUCAUAGGUCAUUUUGCUCAUGAAGAAAAUACAAGUUAAUUUAAGAGUUUUUAGAUAUUUUUACUGAAAACAAGACAAAAAUACUAAGUAAAAAUGAUUAUCAAGAAAAAAAAAAUUCUUAGUAUUUUUGUCUUUUUCUGGUAAAAAUAUCUAAAAAUUCUUAACUCUUUCCUGCCAGCGUUUUUAAAAAAAGUUGCCAGCCAGUGCUAUUUUUCAUGAAUUUCACAAAAGUUUAAUGCCUCCCAGAAAAUGUUUUUUCUUUAAAUAUAUUAACAAACAAUAUAUCAAAUGAAAGAACAGACCCUCUGCUUUCAAACAAACAAAAAAAAAACGUUUCAUCCUACCUUCAUUAGUUCUCCUUUUAUUACCUCUCAAAAAUGCGUAGUUUUCUUCAAAAACAACAAAUUUUGAGCAAAAAGCUGAGAUACUUCAAUUUUUGUGAAGGACUUUUAAUAGAGACCAGAUGCAGAGCAAUCUUUAAAACAUACACAGAGUUCUUUCUCUUUCACGUGAGGCGCUACUUCCUGGUUGUAUAAGUUGCGGAAGUGCACCCCAUGGUGGAUAAUAGCGGUAUUGCGGAAAGAAGGAAAUUCUCGUCAUUGGCAGGGAAGCGUUUUCUCUUAAACCAACAUUUAAGAGUUUUUGCUCUUUGCUCCCCCUACAGGUUGGAAGCUGAAUUGUCCAUUACCAUUGUCGUAAAUAAUUUAGCCUACUGCAGCAAAGCUGGCUCUGAUUGGAUUGUAGGUCUGCCGUAAAGCAAGUUUUUGUAGUUUUCACUCGAAGUACAGGACCGUGACCCGACGGUUGGAGUUAUCUCGUCAAUGGCGGCGAAAGAGUUAAAUCAAGAUGUAUUUUCUUGAUGAGCAAAACGACCUAAAAAAAUAAGUCUAGUUUUAGACCAAAAAUAUAAUUUGCACAUUUAAGUGAUUUUGUGCAUAAAACAAGCAAAAAAAUCUGCCAAUGGUUUAAGCAAUUUUUUCUGUUAAGCAAUUAAGAAAUUGAAUUUAGUAAAUUUAGUGUUUAAGAAAAAUGUUCAAGAUUUUUUGGCUUACCACAUUGGAAGAUUAUUAUUAUUUUUUUGCUUGUUUUAUGCACAAAAUCAUUUAAAUUUGAUAUUUUUGGUCUAAAAACUAGAAUUUUUUCUUGGGUCGUGUUGCUCAUCAAGAAAAUACAUCUUAAUUUAAGAAUUUUAAGAUAUUUUUUAUUGAAAACAAGACAAAAAAUAAGAUUUUUUUUCCUGAAAAUCAUUUUUUGCAGUGCACCAGCUAAACCAGCACCAAACCAGCAUGGGAAUUAUGCUGGUCUAUGCCGGUGGUUUUUUUUUGCAAAUAUAGUGCACAAGGUACCAUAUAUACCAUAAAAAGGCAGCAUAAAUCACCUUUCACUUUCAUUGUAUGAAAAAUGAGCUCAGACAUUCUGCCUAAAUUUGUUUAGUUUUUCAUGCAUGACAGUAAAUAAAAAUGGCCAGCCAUCUUGGGGUAUAAAUGAAGAGAUCAGAUGCAAAAGCCUCUAAAUGCAACCUCAUCAAAAAUGAGGUAAUGAUAUUGACCAAAUGCUCUCAACGUGUAAUAUAUCUUCAUCAAACACUUUCACUUCAAAUUUGCUUAAUCCUGGCCCCCGGCAAUCCAAAUUGUUCUCAAAAUCUGUUAAAUGCCACGGCAGUUCUCAAAAUGCAUGGAAGAUGUCCCCUGUUAGUACUUGAACCUAAAUACAACCCGAAUGUGGCAAUGACAUGCAUCACAGCGCCCCCUAAUCUGUGGUUCAGUUUCUUCUUUUUAAAUUCUAACUUUUAUCAUUUGCAGUGUUGCUAGUUGCAUCUUUGGUGAUUUUGCAAUUGUUUUGUUGCUAAAAAAAAAAAAGGUUGCAUGCACUUAGAGGGUUUUGCAGUGAAAGACAGUCAAAAUUGUGAAUAUGGAAAUAAGGCAUUUUAAUUACCAACUUAUAAUCAUUUCAUUGCCAUUAAAGUAAAAUUACUGAACCUAAACUUAUAGGGACGGUUUCCCGGACAGAGAUUAGACUAAUCCUAGACUAAAAUAAAUGUCAGAGCUGCUCAAACUGGAAACAACUUGCACUGCAAUAUCUG